UACGUAGGGGGCAAGCGUUGUCCGGAAUCAUUGGGCGUAAAGAGCGUGUAGGCGGUCCGUUAAGUCGGCUGUGAAAGUCCAAGGCUCAACCUUGGGAUGCCGGUCGAUACUGCCGGACUAGAGUUCGGAAGAGGCGAGUGGAAUUCCCGGUGUAGCGGUGAAAUGACGCAGAUAUCGGGAGGAACACCUAUGGCGAAGGCAGCUCGCUGGGACGUUACUGACGCUGGAGACGCGAAAGCGUGGGGAGCAAACAGG
rnacentral:rRNA from 1 species